rnacentral:lncRNA from 1 species
GGUGCGAAAUUGACUGCUUUUGGCAUUAGCAUUUCUCAAACUUUGUGCAGUUAAUAAGAUGACGCUUCAUAGAGUUUGGUCUUGCCAGUACAAAUGGGAAUGUUAACGUUUUCUGAUUUUCCUAGUAAUGGUGCUGUUUUCUUCUUUCCCCCCCUUCUUUUCUGGAGAAUGGUUUAAUUUUUAAAUCCAAAAGCAAAGCAGAAUGAUGAGAUUAAUUACGUCUUAAUCCAGAUGUCAAAUUUUUUGUUUUUAUUUUGGUCUUUGAAGUUCUCUGACUGCUUUACUCGUUGCUGUAUUUUAGUAAUUGUUUUCCGAGAUGGGCAUGAUUCUCCCCAAUUCUUUCUCAUCUUGAUAUUCAUUUUUGUUGCUGAUAGUCUUUAUUUUUUUUACGCUUGUGAAGUAUGCUGCCAAGAUUUCUAAGCAGACGUGUAUUUUCUUCUUCACGACACCUCUGGUUCUAAUGUUAAGGCAUAAAUCUAGAUCGGCAAAGUAAAAUAACGAAUUUUCUUUAUCUGAAUCCAAUGCGGAACAACUUAAAUCGCAUUGAUCUUCAAAAUUCUCUGAUUGCUUUGCUGCUUGGAGCUAUUUUUGUUUUUUUUAUUCAUUUUUUAAGUGAAGGCUUCUAAGUAUGGUGUCUACUAGUGUCUGCUCCAGAAGUAGCAUCAUUUUUUUCGUCUGUUUGUCACCUGAACAAGCAAAAUGAUGAGAAUCUUUUAUCUGAAUUUGAUGUGGAAGAACUCAUAUCAUACAGGUCUUCAAAGUUCUCUGAUUACUUUGCUGGUUGCGUUAGUGUCAUAGCAUGCAACGAACUAGCUGUAUUCCAAUUUUUUUUCUUUCCUUUCUUUAGAGGGCUUUGAAUCUGCACCAAAAUUUCAUAGUCUGAUAUGUUUUUAUCUUUCAGGCUACACGAGCAUGGUGCAAUAGAAAUCUUCCUCCUUUUUACCAUCCUGGCUAUAUUUGUCAUUUCCAUUGACUUUUGUGGUAAAACUAGGAAGAAGACAUGCUAAUAUUGAUAUUCUAUAAACUUAAUGUUGUUUUUUCAUCAUCUAUAUUCAAUUAUCAUGUGAAUUACAUGAUUUGAUUUUAGUUGGUCUGAUAUGGAUCUCUUUUGUUUGUGUAUUGAACUUCAUUAUCCCAAGUGUCCUGUUGAAUGCCUGCCAUGUGUUCCCUGUUAUCAUAGUCAUUCUUGGUCAUUACAAUAACUCAUUAAUUGGAGCAUAAUUGGAGCAGAACGUAUUACAUAUAAAUAGCUCAAUGAGAAACUCUAGAAAUUUGCUGUAAGGAUCAAACUCCUCAUUCCUUCCUGUUAUAUUUCAUUUCUCCCUUACAGACGGGCCAAGGAUGGUAUCUACUCUUGUUUGGACCUGCUCAAAUGUGAAACAAUUAGCUUGUACGAGAUUUCUUAGUCUGUUAUGCUGUUGCCUUCAGGCUAAACGAGUAUGGUGCAAUAAAA